rnacentral:rRNA from 1 species
CCUACGGGAGGCAGCAGUGGGGAAUAUUGCACAAUGGGGGAAACCCUGAUGCAGCGACGCCGCGUGAGUGAAGAAGUAUUUCGGUAUGUAAAGCUCUAUCAGCAGGGAAGAAAAUGACGGUACCUGACUAAGAAGCCCCGGCUAACUACGUGCCAGCAGCCGCGGCAAUACGUAGGGGGCAAGCGUUAUCCGGAUUUACUGGGUGUAAAGGGGGCGUAGACGGCAGCGCAAGUCUGAAGUGAAAUCCCAUGGCUUAACCAUGGAACUGCUUUUGAAACUGUGCAUCUGGAGUGCAGGAGAGGUAAGCGGAAUUCCUAGUGUAGCGGUGAAAUGCAUAGAUAUUAGGAAGAACACCAGUGGCGAAGGCAGCUUACUGGACUGUAACUGACGUUGAGGCUCGAAAGCGUGGGGAGCAAACAGGAUUAGAUACCCCUGUAGUC